UGAGAGUGGACUAAAACCCUCAUGCUGCUGCAAGAGGCCGCAUGGGCUUGUGUACCUCCACAGGACCAGAGCUGUUUGCAGGGCUCACUAAGGAAAGUGUACCACAAACAGCUUGCCAGGAAACAACCACGCAUUAAUACUGCAAUUAAAUAGCAAAAUGGGUAAAGCAGGAGAUUAUGGGCAGCUAGCUUGGAUGUUCCCACUGGCCUUUUGAGUGUCUCUUCCCAUGGACUGCAGAGGAAAUUUGGACUUCUAAACUCAUAUGUCCUGAAUUGCACCGAAGAAUAGGAGAACACAUGGAGCAGUCACUACCAAUAGUGGAUAGCUCAUGACAUCUUACCAUCAUGAAGGCAAAAGAAGUUGGAACUGGGAACCAGAAGAACUUCUGACUAUUUCACCAAUGAACUGGAUUUGGAGUGGUGGAGAGA